rnacentral:rRNA from 1 species
AUUGAACGCUGGCGGCAGGCUUAACACAUGCAAGUCGAGCGGGGUGAUGGUGCUUGCACUAUCACUUAGCGGCGGACGGGUGAGUAAUGCUUAGGAAUCUGCCUAUUAGUGGGGGACAACAUCUCGAAAGGGAUGCUAAUACCGCAUACGUCCUACGGGAGAAAGCAGGGGAUCACUUGUGACCUUGCGCUAAAAGAUGACCCUAAGUCGGAUUAGCUAGUUGGUGGGGUAAAGGCCUACCAAGGCGACGACCUGUAGCGGGUCUGAGAGGAUGAUCCGCCACACUGGGACUGAGACACGGCCCAGACUCCUACGGGAGGCAGCAGUGGGGAAUAUUGGACAAUGGGGGGAACCCUGAUCCAGCCAUGCCGCGUGUGUGAAGAAGGCCUUAUGGUUGUAAAGCACUUUAAGCGAGGAGGAGGCUCUUUUGGUUAAUACCCAAGAUGAGUGGACGUUACUCGCAGAAUAAGCACCGGCUAACUCUGUGCCAGCAGCCGCAGUAA